GACGAACGCUGGCGGCGUGCUUAACACAUGCAAGUCGAACGAGGAAAUUGACUUCGGUUGAUUUUCGAGUGGCGGACGGGUGAGUAACGCGUGAGCAAUCUGUCCUACAGAGGGGGAUAACAACUGGAAACAGUUGCUAAUACCGCAUAAGACCACGAGGCCGCAUGGCCAUGAGGUAAAAGGAGCAAUCCGCUGUAGGGUGAGCUCGCGUCCGAUUAGAUAGUUGGUGAGGUAACGGCCCACCAAGUCUGCGAUCGGUAGCCGACCUGAGAGGGUGACCGGCCACGAUUGGGACUGAGACACGGCCCCAG
rnacentral:rRNA from 1 species